AAUGCGAAGAGUUAUGGCAAGAAGGAGGAGACACGUUUGAACGGGUGGUAGCUCAACAGCAGCCCAUUUCUUCGUCUGGUUACGCCGCCAUGUUCGGUUUGUACGGGAAUUCUAACACGUGGGUAGGUAGAUGAAGAGCCCGGCUGUUCACAUGACGUGUCGUUGCUUUCAAAUAUACAUAUGUAUAAUUUUUAUGUAAUUUACAAAAUAAUGCGCAGACCACUUGUGCGCAAUAUUGGGGUGUGGUUGCUAUCGGUUGUGUAGCAACCGCAAGCUCCGCCUAAAAUGCAUGUUAACUGACCAAUGAUGAUUGGUGUUGUAAUUGAUUGGCACGUUGUGUCAACAACAUCCGGCAGUGCGUCAUUCUAUUGUUCGACCGUGAGGCGACAUUUGAAGCGAUUUUUCGAGAGUUUCGAGAGUUUUGUCGAUUGUUUCGACAGUUUUGUGAUGCCCCCAAAGAAGAAACAAGCUCGCUUCGUUCCCAGAAGGGCAGUGGGACGCGAAUCCUUCGUGGAGUCGGAGGAUCGCGUGUUGAUAGACCUCUCCUUGUUGUCUGGAGUAUUGCAACAAGCAGCCGUGUGCGCCACGUGUAAGCGUGGCUCACUUGUUCUAAAGAUUGGAGAGAGGAGGUUUGGGUUUGCGUGCAAGACAUCCAACCGACGAGGCGUUCAUCGCAACAGAAACGAGCUCGUCCGAUCUUGGGUCUGGAAGACUGGGAUUUUGAUGACGAGUUGUGAUGAUCUCUCUUAUCUCUUAGUGGCAGAACAUAAUAUAUAUGGCCUAAAAUUUUGGGCCAGUAUAUGCUCUGACCUCCACGUGGUCUGGCCUGGGUAACCCUAACAAGAGCAUAAAGAAUGGCUGCUAAUUUCUACUCUGAUCUGAGUAGGCUACUGCAGUGGGGAAGUUGAAAAUCGACUCUUUAUAUAUUUCUAGAUAGAAUGUGAUGUACUGUAUUAUGUAAAUAGCCAAUACGUAGUUUGGUUCAAGUUCAUGAACCGUAAUGAGGGUUACGUGUUGUUAUAAAUAGCAAAAAACCGAGUUUGCGAGUGAAAUAGUGUUUCUGUGAAGAAUUCAA